UCAAACAUCGGUUCCCGUACUAUCACUGAAGUUAAGCAACGCCGAGUCUAAUCAGUACCUAGAUGGGUGACGGCUUGGGAAUAUCAGGUGCUGUAAG